GCUCAUGCUGCUGAAUGGGGUAUAUGCCUCGAGAGGUGGUGACGUAUUUCCGUUUGAAUUUAUGCCACAUAGGUUGGUUCCGGGUCCUGCUGACUCCUAUUGUUUUCAGCCAAAGCUGCAAGAUCUGUACCAUGAAAAAGACGCAAAACUUAAAACAUCUGUGAGCUGCUGGUACAACAAUCGAGUUUUGUGGUGUGCCGUUGUGUCCAGUAAUUAGCCGGUACCAUCCGGUGCUUAGUUUUUUUCAUUUUCCUGCUGAAAUCAAGGACAGCUAACACGCGGUUUGUAGCUGCCUGCUAUUUCAAAGCUUGAGGAUACUGAAGAUCCAGCGUCAGAAAUGGGAAGACGGAGGUUAAAAGGAAGCUGUACGAGCUUCGUUCACUGGAAUAAUGUGUUGGAGGAAAAUAAUGCCAGGAAAUCCACUGCAACGGGAACAGGCUGAGAACAGAGGCAGCGAUUCGGCACAAGGUUUGCAUCGCAACACCUCGUGUUUCUGAGCCAUGAUCGCUGUGCUGAUUACCUUUCCAUUGGAUCCAAGCACCUGGACCAGCUGACGGCAUCCAUCAGUCCACGGAUCAUCACAACGUGGACCAACUUUUUAUUUACUUGGUUAAACUAUGAUCUGGAAACCGGAGCACCAGAUAUGCAAAAAUCUUCCUGCAGACUUUGACACUGCAGUCAUCCUGGACGGGGCUGAGCCGCUCUUCCUCUCUCCUCUUCCUCUCCUCCAGAGUGACGAGUUUUCAUCACCAGUAAAGGCGAACAGGUCUGAUGUCUGAUUAGCUGCUAGGAAGUAUAUUAUAUAUUCACUGUUCAUUUUGCUAUCCUGUUUGUACCUCCAAUAAAAUUGAAUCUCAUUUGUA